rnacentral:rRNA from 1 species
AGUCGAACGGUGAAGCAGGAGCUUGCUCUUGUGGAUCAGUGGCGAACGGGUGAGUAACACGUGAGCAACCUGCCCCUGACUCUGGGAUAAGCGCUGGAAACGGCGUCUAAUACUGGAUAUGUGACGUGACCGCAUGGUCUGCGUUUGGAAAGAUUUUUCGGUUGGGGAUGGGCUCGCGGCCUAUCAGCUUGUUGGUGAGGUAAUGGCUCACCAAGGCGUCGACGGGUAGCCGGCCUGAGAGGGUGACCGGCCACACUGGGACUGAGACACGGCCCAGACUCCUACGGGAGGCAGCAGUGGGGAAUAUUGCACAAUGGGCGAAAGCCUGAUGCAGCAACGCCGCGUGAGGGAUGACGGCCUUCGGGUUGUAAACCUCUUUUAGCAGGGAAGAAGCGAAAGUGACGGUACCUGCAGAAAAAGCGCCGGCUAACUACGUGCCAGCAGCCGCGGUAAUACGUAGGGCGCAAGCGUUAUCCGGAAUUAUUGGGCGUAAAGAGCUCGUAGGCGGUUUGUCGCGUCUGCUGUGAAAUCCCGAGGCUCAACCUCGGGCCUGCAGUGGGUACGGGCAGACUAGAGUGCGGUAGGGGAGAUUGGAAUUCCUGGUGUAGCGGUGGAAUGCGCAGAUAUCAGGAGGAACACCGAUGGCGAAGGCAGAUCUCUGGGCCGUAACUGACGCUGAGGAGCGAAAGGGUGGGGAGCAAACAGGCUUAGAUACCCUGGUAGUCCACCCCGUAAACGUUGGGAACUAGUUGUGGGGUCCAUUCCACGGAUUCCGUGACGCAGCUAACGCAUUAAGUUCCCCGCCUGGGGAGUAC